UACGGAGGGCGCAAGCGUUGUUCGGAAUUACUGGGCGUAAAGCGCGUGUAGGCGGCCAGGUAAGUCGGAUGUGAAAUCCCGGGGCCCAACCCCGGAACUGCACCCGAUACUGCCGAGCUGGAGUCCGGUAGGGGAGCGGGGAAUUCCUGGUGUAGCGGUGAAAUGCGCAGAUAUCAGGAGGAACACCGGUGGCGAAGGCGCCGCUCUGGGCCGGUACUGACGCUGAGGAGCGAAAGCGUGGGUAGCAAACAGG
rnacentral:rRNA from 1 species